UUUAGAGGAAGUAAAAGUCGUAACAAGGUUUCCGUAGGUGAACCUGCGGAAGGAUCAUUACUGAACUGUCGACACGAGUUGUUGCUGGUCCUCGAGAGGGGGCAUGUGCACACUCUGUUUACAUACCCACUCACACCUGUGCACCCUCUGUAGCUCCAUGGUGUGGGGGGCCCUGUCCUCCCACUGUGGUUCUACGUCUUUACACACACACGUUGAUAAGUCUCAUGGAAUGUAUAUAGCGUUUAACGCAAUACAAUACAACUUUCAGCAACGGAUCUCUUGGCUCUCGCAUCGAUGAAGAACGCAGCGAAAUGCGAUAAGUAAUGUGAAUUGCAGAAUUCAGUGAAUCAUCGAAUCUUUGAACGCACCUUGCGCCCUUUGGCUAUUCCGAAGGGCAUGCCUGUUUGAGUAUCAUGAACACCUCAACUCUCAUGGUUUGCCAUGAUGAGCUUGGACUUUGGGGGUCUUGCUGGCCUAUGGUCAGCUCCUCUAAAAUGAAUCAGCUUGCCAGUGUUUGGUGGCGUCACAGGUGUGAUAACUAUCUACGCUUGUGGCCCCCCACCAGGUAACCUCCAGUGAUGGAGGUUCGCUGGGGCUCAUAAAUGUCUCUCCUUGGUGAGGACAGCUUUUUGAACGUUUGAUCUCAAAUCAGGUAGGACUACCCGCUGAACUUAAGCAUAUCA
rnacentral:rRNA from 1 species